AUGGAUAAGUUCGGGCCUGCUUGUGCAGGAUGGAAGAUUGGCUGGAUCAAUAUUGCUGGCAGGCUCACUCUGGUCCGGGUAGUUCUCUCGGCUCUCCUCACUUUCCAGAUGAUCUCAAUUGCCCAGCCAAAGUGGCUCGACAAGAUGGUGGAUAAAAUUAGAAGACCCUUCCUCUGGACAGGCGAGGGCAGCGCUUCUGGUGGUAAAUGCCUUGUGAGAUGGUCCCUAGUAUGCCGGCCACUUGAGUUCGGAGGACUAGGAAUUUCAAACCUGUUCCUUCAGAGUAUAGCCCUACGCCUUCAAUAG
rnacentral:rRNA from 1 species